AGAGUUUGAUCAUGGCUCAGGAUGAACGCUGGCAGCGUGGAUAAGGCAUGCAAGUCAAGGGGGCCGCAAGGCAACCGGCAGACGAGGUAGAAACGCGUAGGUACAUUCCCAGAAGUCGGGCACAGCUCGUCGAAAGACGGGGUAAUUCCCGAUGGUCCCGCAAGGGUAAAGUUUUUUCGCUUCUGGAGCGGCCUGCGUCAUAUCAGCUAGUUGGUAGGGUAACGGCCUACCAAGGCUACGACGUGUAGGGGGGCUGAGAGGCCGAUCCCCACCGAUGGCACUGCGAUACGGGCCAUACCUCUACGGAGGGCUGCAGCCGAGAAUAUUCGACAAUGGACGAAAGUCUGAUCGAGCGACGCCGCGUGCUGGAUGAAGUGCUUCGGCACGUAAACAGCUUUUAUCGGGGACGAAGUUUAUUGACGGUACCCGAUGAAUAAGGGGCUACUAACUCUGUGCCAGCAGUAGCGGUAAUACAGAGGCCCCAAGCGUUAUCCGGAAUCACUGGGCGUAAAGGGUGUCCAGGCGGUCGUAUUAGUCGUUUGUAAAAUCCGCGCGCUUAACGUGCGGUCCGCAGACGAAACGGUACGACUCGAGGGCGCGAGAGGUGCAUGGAACUCACGGUGGAGGGGUGAAAUCCGUUGAUAUCGUGGGGAACACCAAAGGCGAAGGCGUGCACUAGCGCGUUCCUGACGCUCACACACGAAAGCCAGGGGAUCGAACGGGAUUAGAUACCCUAGUAGUCC
rnacentral:rRNA from 1 species